CCUACGGGAGGCAGCAGUGGGGAAUAUUGCACAAUGGGCGCAAGCCUGAUGCAGCCAUGCCGCGUGUAUGAAGAAGGCCUUCGGGUUGUAAAGUACUUUCAGCGGGGAGGAAGGGAGUAAAGUUAAUACCUUUGCUCAUUGACGUUACCCGCAGAAGAAGCACCGGCUAACUCCGUGCCAGCAGCCGCGGUAAUACGGAGGGUGCAAGCGUUAAUCGGAAUUACUGGGCGUAAAGCGCACGCAGGCGGUUUGUAAGUCAGAUGUGAAAUCCCCGGGCUCAACCUGGGAACUGCAUCUGAUACUGGCAAGCUUGAGUCUCGUAGAGGGGGGUAGAAUUCCAGGUGUAGCGGUAGAAAUGCGUAGAGAUCUGGAGGAAUACCGGUGCGAAGGCGGCCCCUGGACGAAGACUGACGCUCAGGUGCGAAAGCGUGGGGAGCAAACAGGAUUAGACUACCCUGGUAGUCCACGCCGUAAACGAUGUCGACUGGAGUUGUCGUCCGUUGAGGCGUGUCUUCGGAGCUACGUCGUUAAGCGACCGCGNGGGAGACGCGCGAGUAACGUACANAGAGUGNGNGNGAGAGNGACGAGACGACGACGAGGAGAGG
rnacentral:rRNA from 1 species